UACGGAGGGUGCAAACGUUGCUCGGAAUCAUUGGGCGUAAAGCGCACGUAGGCGGCGAAGCAAGUCGGGUGUGAAAGCCCUGGGCUCAACCCAGGAAGUGCAUUCGAAACUAUUUCGCUUGAAUCUCGGAGGGGGUCAGAGAAUUCCCGGUGUAGAGGUGAAAUUCGUAGAUAUCGGGAGGAAUACCAGUGGCGAAGGCGCUGACCUGGACGAAGAUUGACGCUGAGGUGCGAAAGCGCGGGGAGCAAACAGG
rnacentral:rRNA from 1 species